AUGGGAGCCGGUCUAUACGGCUACCUCGACCAAACCAUCGAAGAACCCCCCAAAACCAUCAUUACCAAAACCACCGACGGCAAGGAUCAGGUUGUCGUGAACCCUGCCUAUGCCCCCUAGUUGAUCCAGGACCAGCAACUUCUAGCAUAUCUCCUUAGGAAUCUGUCCAAGGAGGUCCUUGUCCAGGUUGCAUCUCUUGAGAAAUCACAUGCGAUCUGGAGUGCCCUAGCAAACAUGUUCCCCGCCAUCUCCUUGUCCCGUGCCAACAAUAUUCAAGCUGCACUCACCAAUGCACAAAAGGGGUCUCAUGUAACGCCCACGAUGCGGCUAUAUCUCCCACGUGUCGAGGCACGACUUAGAGGCAUAACCGCAUUGUGGUUUAGUCGCAAGAAGGGUCAUCUUCACACAAUCCCAUGUAAUGAACAAGAAUGGGAUAAAGAGUUGGCUUACAAUCGCCACUUCACACAAUACAUAAAUAAAUCAUACAUCAAUCAGAGUACACACAUAGGUCCGACUAUGGAACCAAAAUAA
rnacentral:rRNA from 1 species